rnacentral:rRNA from 1 species
AGAUUGAMCGCUGGCGGCGUGCCUAACACAUGCAAGUCGAGCGAUGAAGGGAGCUUGCUCCCGGAUUAGCGGCGCACGGGUGAGUAACGCGKGGAUAAUCUACCCACGAGAUCGGGAUACCAGCUGGAAACGGCUGACAAUACCGGGUAAYAURCAAUUWAACUAUUGKGUCAAAGGCGGGGCAACCUGUCGCUUGUGGAUGAGUCCGCGUCUCAUUAGCUAGUUGGUAAGGUAAUGGCUUACCAAGGCAGUGAUGAGUAGCCGGCCUGAGAGGGUAAUCGGCCACACUGGGACUGAAACACGGCCCARACUCCUACGGGA